AUGCGGAGGGAGCAAGCGUUAUUCGGAAUCACUGGGCGUAAAGGACGCGUAGGCGGGUUUGUAAGUCAGGUGUGAAAUCCUACAGCUCAACUGUAGAACUGCACUUGAAACUACAGACCUAGAGUAUGGAAGGGGCAGGUGGAAUUAGUGGUGUAGGGGUAAAAUCCGUAGAUAUCACUAGGAAUACCGAAAGCGAAGGCGAUCUGCUGGGACAUUACUGACGCUGAGGCGUGAAAGCGUGGGGAGCAAACAGGAUUAGAAACCCUGGUAGUCC
rnacentral:rRNA from 1 species